rnacentral:rRNA from 1 species
CCCUGCCCUUUGUACACACGGCUCGUCGCUCCUACCAAUUGAAUGAUCUGGUGAAGUGUUCAGAUUACGUCGACGAUGGUGGUUCGCUGUCGUCGACGUCGUGAGAAGUUCAUUGAACCUUAUCAUUUAGAGGA